rnacentral:miRNA from 1 species
ACUGAUGUGAAGGUGGUUUGGC